rnacentral:rRNA from 1 species
GACACACGGCGGGUGCUAACGUCCGUCGUGAAGAGGGAAACAACCCAGACCGCCAGCUAAGGUCCCAAAGUCAUGGUUAAGUGGGAAACGAUGUGGGAAGGCCCAGACAGCCAGGAUGUUGGCUUAGAAGCAGCCAUCAUUUAAAGAAAGCGUAAUAGCUCACUGGUCGAGUCGGCCUGCGCGGAAGAUGUAACGGGGCUAAACCAUGCACCGAAGCUGCGGCAGCGAACGUAUCACCCAAGACAACUUUACGGAGUUGACGAUUGACGGAGCGAAGCGACGUCAAAGCGUUCAUUAAAGUCGAGUUGGCUUAGGGAUACGUUCGUUGGGUAGGGGAGCGUUCUGUAAGCCUGUGAAGGUGUGUCGUGAGGCAUGCUGGAGGUAUCAGAAGUGCGAAUGCUGACAUAAGUAACGAUAAAGCGGGUGAAAAGCCCGCUCGCCGGAAGACCAAGGGUUCCUGUCCAACGUUAAUCGGGGCAGGGUGAGUCGACCCCUAAGGCGAGGCCGAAAGGCGUAGUCGAUGGGAAACGGGUUAAUAUUCCCGUACUUGGUGUUACUGCGAAGGGGGGACGGAGAAGGCUAUGUUGGCCGGGCGACGGUUGUCCCGGUUUAAGCGUGUAGGUGUGUGUUCCAGGUAAAUCCGGUUCACUUUAACACUGAGGCGUGACGACGAGGCACUACGGUGCUGAAGCAACAAAUGCCCUGCUUCCAGGAAAAGCCUCUAAGCAUCAGGUAACAUCAAAUCGUACCCCAAACCGACACAGGUGGUCAGGUAGAGAAUACCAAGGCGCUUGAGAGAACUCGGGUGAAGGAACUAGGCAAAAUGGUGCCGUAACUUCGGGAGAAGGCACGCUGACACGUAGGUGAAGUGAUUUACUCAUGGAGCUGAAGUCAGUCGAAGAUACCAGCUGGCUGCAACUGUUUAUUAAAAACACAGCACUGUGCAAACACGAAAGUGGACGUAUACGGUGUGACGCCUGCCCGGUGCCGGAAGGUUAAUUGAUGGGGUCAGCGCAAGCGAAGCUCCUGAUCGAAGCCCCGGUAAACGGCGGCCGUAACUAUAACGGUCCUAAGGUAGCGAAAUUCCUUGUCGGGUAAGUUCCGACCUGCACGAAUGGCGUAAUGAUGGCCAGGCUGUCUCCACCCGAGACUCAGUGAAAUUGAACUCGCUGUGAAGAUGCAGUGUACCCGCGGCAAGACGGAAAGACCCCGUGAACCUUUACUAUAGCUUGACACUGAACAUUGAGCCUUGAUGUGUAGGAUAGGUGGGAGGCUUUGAAGUGUGGACGCCAGUCUGCAUGGAGCCGACCUUGAAAUACCACCCUUUAAUGUUUGAUGUUCUAACGUGGACCCGUAAUCCGGGUUGCGGACAGUGUCUGGUGGGUAGUUUGACUGGGGCGGUCUCCUCCUAAAGAGUAACGGAGGAGCACGAAGGUUGGCUAAUCCUGGUCGGACAUCAGGAGGUUAGUGCAAUGGCAUAAGCCAGCUUGACUGCGAGCGUGACGGCGCGAGCAGGUGCGAAAGCAGGUCAUAGUGAUCCGGUGGUUCUGAAUGGAAGGGCCAUCGCUCAACGGAUAAAAGGUACUCCGGGGAUAACAGGCUGAUACCGCCCAAGAGUUCAUAUCGACGGCGGUGUUUGGCACCUCGAUGUCGGCUCAUCACAUCCUGGGGCUGAAGUAGGUCCCAAGGGUAUGGCUGUUCGCCAUUUAAAGUGGUACGCGAGCUGGGUUUAGAACGUCGUGAGACAGUUCGGUCCCUAUCUGCCGUGGGCGCUGGAGAACUGAGGGGGGCUGCUCCUAGUACGAGAGGACCGGAGUGGACGCAUCACUGGUGUUCGGGUUGUCAUGCCAAUGGCACUGCCCGGUAGCUAAAUGCGGAAGAGAUAAGUGCUGAAAGCAUCUAAGCACGAAACUUGCCCCGA